GAUGAACGCUGGCGGCGUGCCUAAUACAUGCAAGUCGAGCGAACGGACGAGAAGCUUGCUUCUCUGAUGUUAGCGGCGGACGGGUGAGUAACACGUGGAUAACCUACCUAUAAGACUGGGAUAACUUCGGGAAACCGGAGCUAAUACCGGAUAAUAUUUUGAACCGCAUGGUUCAAAAGUGAAAGACGGUCUUGCUGUCACUUAUAGAUGGAUCCGCGCUGCAUUAGCUAGUUGGUAAGGUAACGGCUUACCAAGGCAACGAUGCAUAGCCGACCUGAGAGGGGGAAGGGCCAAGCGGGAACUGAGACACGGGCAAGACCCCUAGGGGAGGCAGAAGGAGGGAAUUUUCCGAAAUGGGGGAAAGCCUGACGGAAAAACGCCGGGGGAGUGAAGAAGGGUUUGGGAUCGUAAAAAGCUUUUAUUGGGGAAAAAAAAAUGGGAAAGUAAAGGGGCAAAUCUUGACGGUACCUAAUAAAAAAACCACGGCUAACUACGU
rnacentral:rRNA from 1 species